rnacentral:rRNA from 1 species
CACAUAGGGUGCGAGCGUUGUCCGGAAUUAUUGGGCGUAAAGAGCUCGUAGGCGGUGUGUCGCGUCGGCCGUGAAAACCUGCAGCUUAACUGUGGGCUUGCGGUCGAUACGGGCAUCACUGGAGUUCGGCAGGGGAGACUGGAAUUCCUGGUGUAGCGGUGAAAUGCGUAGAUAUCAGGAGGAACACCGAUGGCGAAGGCAGGUCUCUGGGCUGACACUGACGCUCAUGCACGAAAGCGUGGGGAGCAAACAGG